UACGUAGGGCGCAAGCGUUGUCCGGAAUUAUUGGGCGUAAAGGGCUCGUAGGCGGUCCGUCACGUCGGGAGUGAAAACUUGGGGCUUAACCCCAAGCCUGCUUCCGAUACGGGCAGACUAGAGUUCGGUAGGGGAGUCUGGAAUUCCUGGUGUAGCGGUGAAAUGCGCAGAUAUCAGGAGGAACACCGGUGGCGAAGGCGGGACUCUGGGCCGAUACUGACGCUGAGGAGCGAAAGCGUGGGGAGCAAACAGG
rnacentral:rRNA from 1 species